rnacentral:rRNA from 1 species
UGCCAGCCGCCGCGGUAAUACGGAGGGUCCAAGCGUUAUCCGGAUUCAUUGGGUUUAAAGGGUGCGUAGGCGGAAAUUUAAGUCAGUGGUGAAAGCCCACAGCUCAACUGUGGAACUGCCAUUGAUACUGAAUUUCUUGAAUCUAGUUGAAGUAGGCGGAAUACAUCAUGUAGCGGUGAAAUGCUUAGAUAUGAUGUAGAACACCGAUCGCGAAGGCAGCUUACUAAGCUAGUAUUGACGCUGAGGCACGAAAGCGUGGGGAGCAAACAGGAUUAGAUA